CAUGUUCUCUGUAGCUCUGCUGCUGCUGUUGGCAGCUGGAUUUGGGAAGUGUGAACAGUUGACCCAGCCAGCCUCUGUGACUGUGCAGCCAGGUCAACGUCUGACCAUCACCUGUCAGGUCUCUUAUUCUGUUGGUAGCUACUACACAGCUUGGAUCAGACAGCCUGCAGGGAAAGGACUGGAGUGGAUUGGAAUGAAAUAUACUGGAGCUUCAUACUACAAAGAUUCACUGAAGAACAAGUUCAGUAUUGACUUAGAGACUUCCAGCAACACAGUGACUCUAAAUGGACAGAAUGUGCAGCAUGAAGACACUGCUGUGUAUUACUGUGCCAGAGAGCCACAGUAACACAAACCAUCAGUAGACCUGAACAAAAACCCCUCAGAGCCUGAACACUUGUAACAUGAAGCCACCAGAGGAGGAGCCCUCAGACCACUAAUGGUUUCAACACCAGCUCACUGU